CAUUACAGGUAAUAUUAAAAUAAUUCAAAUUAUUAUGGGAAGGUAAAUCUAAGAGUUCUGAUUGGUUCUUUCUUAGUCAGGAUUUUGCCAUAGACUGUUUCGAAUCCAUAAACACAGCCAUAAUCUGACUGCCUUUAUUUUUUUAUUUUUGUUGUUUUUGAGUUUCGUACAAUAAACUACUUACCUAACCUAGCUUGCUCGGGUCGUACUAGGGAAUAUUGGUCCUCUGUCACUUUUUACAGAUCUUAAUAUGUGUGGUGUGUGGUGUGUACUUCUAUGACCAUAAACCAAUAUUCUGCAGUACGACCCUCACAAUUGGCUAGCAUGUGUCAGAAGUUUUAUUAUUUAAUAUGGCUUGUGUUUGUAGCCUAAGUUCUGAUUAGCUAAUUUUAGGGCAUUAUUCUUUUGAAAUGCCCAAUGGAACAAAGGCCAACACUCGUCACAGGUGAUAACCAACAGCAUUUUAGAAACUGACAUCAGAGACCCAGUAUUGACCAUAGUGUUCUGCGCACUGUUAUUGUUUUGGUUUACAUGAUACAUGUUUCUACUGUUUUCCAACACUGCACAGAGUGCAGUGCACCCUGGCCAAAACUGGGUAUUUAAAAGAAGCGAUAACAGUAAGGGUAAUUGACAGUUUGAACAUGGGACAGAGAGCAUUAGCGGAUAUACAUGACUUGUAUGACUGUAAUGAUGCUUCUUCCUCUCACUUCCUUGAGUUCAGCAACUAGUGCUAAUAUCUCCAUCAUAAAAUUAUAAUAAAACUUACUUGUAAAUAGCUGAACUCACUACAUCCACAAUUCCUCCUGCGAUCAGGACAAAGAAAAGUUAAA